rnacentral:tRNA from 1 species
GGGUUGGUGGUAUAAUGGGUACCGCUUCUGCUUCAUAAGCAGAAGGUCAUGGGUUCAAUCCCAGGCCAGUCCC